GGAUGUAAGGGCAAUUUGGCUGCGACAUCUGUCACUCAUUGAUUUCCAGGAUUGAUUUGACUGAUCUGGCUAGCUAUAUGAGUGUUUCCCUUCCUCUUCUAGCUAGCUCCAUGUGUGUCCCUCUGGAAACUACACUUGAAAGAAGAAUGAUAUUCCCCAAUAGAGAAGGUCUGUUCUGACAAGUGUACACAAGUACUGUGCUCCUGUUACGGUUGAGAUCUGGUAUGUCCCCCCAAAGCUCAUGCUUUGAAAGUUUGUUCCUUU
rnacentral:snRNA from 1 species